rnacentral:rRNA from 1 species
AGAGUUUGAUCAUGGCUCAGAACGAACGUNNAGCGGCGCGCCUAACACAUGCAAGUCGCACGAGAAAGGGCUUCGGCCCCGGUACAGUGGCGCACGGGUGAGUAACACGUGGGUAAUCUGCCUUCGAGCGGGGGAUAACAUUCCGAAAGGAGUGCUAAUACCGCAUAAGACCACGCCUCCGAAAAGGAGAAGCGGUCAAAGCUGGCCUCUAUACAUAAGCUAGCACUCGAAAAUGAGCCCGCGGAGCAUCAGCUAGUUGGUGAGGUAAUGGCUCACCAAGGCUUAGACGCUUAGCUGGUCUGAGAGGAUGAUCAGCCACACUGGAACUGAGACACGGUCCAGACUCCUACGGGAGGCAGCAGUGGGGAAUCUUGCGCAAUGGGCGAAAGCCUGACGCAGCGACGCCGCGUGAGUGAUGAAGGCCUUCGGGUUGUAAAGCUCUGUGGGGAGAGAAGAAUAAGUGCGGGCUAAUACUCCGCAUGAUGACGGUAUCUCCUUAGCAAGCACCGGCUAACUCUGUGCCAGCAGCCGCGGUAAGACAGAGGGUGCAAACGUUGUUCGGAAUUACUGGGCGUAAAGCGAGUGUAGGCGGUUUGAUAAGUCGGAUGUGAAAGCCCCGGGCUCAACCCGGGAAGUGCACUCGAUACUGUCAAGCUAGAGUAUCGGAGAGUGGUGGAAUUCUCGGUGUAGAGGUGAAAUUCGUAGAUAUCGAGAGGAACACCGGUGGCGAAGGCGGCCAACUGGACGAAUACUGACGCUGAGACUCGAAAGCGUGGGGAGCAAACAGGAUUAGAUACCCUAGUAGUCC